rnacentral:rRNA from 1 species
UACGUAGGGUGCGAGCGUUGUCCGGAAUUAUUGGGCGUAAAGAGCUCGUAGGCGGCUUGUCACGUCGGAUGUGAAAGCCCGGGGCUUAACCCCGGGUCUGCAUUCGAUACGGGCAGGCUAGAGUGUGGUAGGGGAGAUCGGAAUUCCUGGUGUAGCGGUGAAAUGCGCAGAUAUCAGGAGGAACACCGGUGGCGAAGGCGGAUCUCUGGGCCGUUACUGACGCUGAGGAGCGAAAGCGUGGGGAGCGAACAGG